CUGCGGCGGAGCGCAGAUUUCACUUCCCGGGGGCCCGGCGGGAAAGGGGAGGGAACUCGGCCAGAUCAAGGCGGUGCAGCCCAUUUUAGAGAUGGGGCAAGUGAGGCCCGGGAGGAUCCCGUGUAGUAAACUACCCGAGGAAGCAGAGAAGAGGGAGUCCAUGCUCCCAGACAGGGCGGACAAGGAGCCCUAAGACUGCAGAUUCUGCAAGGAGAAAUGUAUUUCCUUCGUCUUUCUGGCCCCGGCACCUAUGCCAGUGCCUGGAACAGAGUAGCUAUUUAGAAUUGGAUGUCGAUUCCCCAGACAGAUCAGACCUUGAGAAAGGCCUUCCUGCUAAAACUGGCAAGAAGAGA
rnacentral:lncRNA from 1 species